rnacentral:rRNA from 1 species
UUGGAGGGCAAGUCUGGUGCCAGCAGCCGCGGUAAUUCCAGCUCCAAUAGCGUAUAUUAAAGUUGUUGCAGUUAAAAAGCUCGUAGUUGAAUUUCGGGAUCAGUACGUUGGUCAUGCUUUCGGGUAUGUACUGGUGUUACUGAUUCCUCCCUUCUGACGAACUAUCAUGCCAUUUACUUGGUGUGGUGGGAAAUCAGGACUGUUACUUCGAAAAAAUUAGAGUGUUUAAAGCAGGC